GCUGGAGGCUCCAAUCCUGGGUUUGGCUCGUAAUCAAUGAUGGAAAUCACUGACAUGUGAAUGAGGCAUAAUAGAUGCAGAUCCUGGAUGAAGGACUCUCUUCCAUUAACUCAGAAUUCCCUAAUGGGAAAUUGUGAAUUCUAAAAUCUAUCCAUAUCAGAAAUCUAUUGAUAUGCGCCAUUAUUUCACUACGUAGUGUCGCCUAUUACAUUUCAUUAGAAAAAUGUUGAUUUUAUUUCUUGUAUACUAUUGCAUGAUGUGGAAACCCUGGGGAGUAUGCUGCGCCAGAAAUACCCAUGGCACGGGCGUAAAAUAAAAAAUCUUUUUACAAGCAGCUAGCAACUUUAGAUACUGACUUUACACGCUUUAUACUUUUUACAUAUAGUCUUUUUUUUUUUUUUGCGUAGAAUAUAUUUAGUAUGUUUACCUUUUCUUAGGCAUUCAAAGUCUGGGAUGAAAUUUAGUGUUUUGUUUGUUUUUUUUGCAGUAUAUUAUACAAUAUUUCAGGUCCAUAUUGCUUUGUAAAUCAGGUUAGUUGCUUAUAUUUUUUCAUUCUAGGGUAAGAUCUGCAUGGUUCUUUCUCUACUGAUGCUGUAGUGUUUUUUGUCGGAAUGUGCCGUUUGGGAAGGAAACUUAAUGAGAGAUCUGUGUAUGCAUUUUAAAGACAAAUUUUGUUUGAUCAUCUCCAAAAUUCCACAUGCUGUUUUUAUUAAAAAAAAAUUGGGGAAAAAACUUGAACAGAAACGUUGAAAACUGCUGUUUUGUCAUUCUCAUUCUACCCAACUAAUUGGAACCCUCAAACGGCUCUAAAGAAUUUAUGCAUUUCUCAUGUUAUAUCCAAAAAAGAUGAUGCUUUUUUGCGGUUGCAACAUACUCUAUAUAGAACCUACUGGAACCUCUUGUGAAUGGUCUGUGAGUUUCUUACCAUUAAUUACAAAUGGGUGUGCAUACCAGGGGUUAAUACCUUACUAAACACCUCGCUUAGAAAUCCAUAUGCUGAAUGGAGCAUUUCUGACAGCUAAUGACUAACUUGUAUCCCAUGCGAAUGCAGCUUUAGAAAAAAAUAUUUUUGAAAAAAGACUGUACUUAUAAAAACUUAAAAAUGUGAUGUAAUGUUUACAAAAAAAUAUGCAAUGUGUUGUUUAAAAUCCCAUAGGGGUUAUGUUAGUGAUGCCUGUGUACAAUAUACACUCACUGUAACCCCUCCUGACAUGUCUGUUUUAGCGACUAAUGGCUUGCCCCUUGUAAUAACAAUUCUGGAGCAUCUAUUCCUAUGUCUCUAUGUUGUGCCAUUCCUAGAGGUUAUAACGGACUCACUAGCAGUUUGCAGAAAAGGUCAAGCUGGGUGUUACCAGUUGGGGGAGGUCUGACACUAUCCAAUCUGUGCUGCUAGUGUCAGGGACUGAGCAGUGGACACAACCCAAAACUGGUAACACCUUCAUUGCAAACUGCGAGCAAUUAAUUCUGAAUUUAUAAUAGGAAUAAUAAAGGAAUGGCGUAACAUACAGUCAUACCAAUAGAUGCUUCGGAAUUGUUAUUACAUGAGGGAUGCAAGUAGUUACUAAAACGGACAUGUCGGUAGAGGGGGACAGGUCCUCUUUAAAGCGGAAGCAAAAAAAAAAGGCUACACUGUUAUAAAUGGUUGAAGAGAAGCUUGAUUGAGUGAAUGUGCAAAUGCCCUUUUUAUGUGCCAAAAUGCAUGUGGUAUGAAUUUUUAAUUAAUUGUUAAAUGUUUUAUCAAAUAAACAGUCAACCCUGUUUCAUACA